GUAAUGAUUCCAAUAGGAGUACUAAUGGCGGGUUCCACGAGUUUCUUCUGUCAUUUCUGACACAUCUCCACCACCAUCACAUACACAAACAUACAGAUUCAGAUAAAAUUAAUACACAUGCAUUGUCAUGCUCACCAUCAAUAUAAACAAUACCCAGAUUUCAUAACCAAACAAGAUCCCAAUUCCCAAUGACAAUUAAUACAUUAUUGUCUCUCUCUUUCUCUUACCUUCUCCUACUUCGCCAAUCCCCAUCCUUGCCCCCUCGCACAUCUCUAUGCAUAUUAUUUUCACUUGUAAUCUUGCUGGAAAACUAUUAUCCCUUAACCAUCUAUCUCCCUAUCUCUUUAUUUUUUUAAUAACUUGUUGGGAGAACUAUUAGUGAGUAUUAUUGGAUGGGAUUUAUUUAAAUCUUUGAUUUCUUUGGUGAAUAAAAUAAUAAUUUUCCGGAUCAAGAGAGAAAACCCGCACCCAAAAUCAGUGAUUUGGACGACCGAGAUUCAAUUCUCCCUUAAACCGUACGUCCAGAACAGAGGGAUAGAACUUUCCCAAACUUUCUUCACAAAAUUCCUAUUCUCUUACCAAAUUACUUAGUCACUCUAACCGCGUUUCACACUUAGGUGCCAGAUCGGAAUCCAAUGUGAAUUGGCCUGCUGCAUCCUGGGGUUGCACACCUUGCUGUGCGACUUGUACAUUACCUUGGAGCUAGGCAGCUCCACACCGCCAUCGAUCUCCCACUCCAAAUUCUCAUAUUUACCACAUCUUGGCUCCGAAAGAAAUUUUCCCUGUUGCGGAAAAUCCCUUCUUCCUGGAGUUUCGUGAAUCUAUUCUUUAGCGGGUCUCUUCGUAUCGCAAUGCGAUUAAGCGGAUUUUGUUCCAGAUUUUGGCGGGGGAAGCGCUUUAAUACUGCGGCACUGUGAUAUGGGGUGUAGCGGGUCGAAGGCGGAUGACUUACCUUUGGUGGUUCGGUGCCGUGAGAGGCGGGAGCUCAUACGGGCCGCCGCGAAUCACCGCUACGCGCUCGCCGCUGCCCAUGUGGCCUACUUCCGCUCGUUGAAGGACGUCGGCGAUGCGCUGCGGAAAUUCGUGGAUGAAGAGCUCGUCAUGGCGUCUCCUUCUUCCUCUUCCUCCUUUUCGUCUCCGUCUUUGACUUUGCCGCCGAACUCGAAGAAAAAGCACGACAAUGCGGCGGAGGAAUCUUCGCUGCAUUUACACGACGACGAGGACGACGAGGAGUCGCAUUUACACUUGUCGGAUUCAUCUACAGAAGAUGAGGAUUCGGAGGAUUACAAGCAUCUGCAUCAUGACCACCACGACCACCAUGGACAUGAAUCAGAAGAUGAUGCGCACCACCAUCAUAAGCCUCACGCGCAUGUCGACAAAGGGAAAGUAUUUGAUGAUGAAAUAAGGCGUUCAAAUCAUGAUGAGGAGGAAUCUUCGUUUCCCUAUCCUCGGGGUGGUUUUGAAGGUUAUGGAAGUGCAUUUGGGAAUGAUGAGUUUGUCAAUUACCCAUAUGCAAACCCAUAUCCCUACCCCUACUCGUAUCCGGCGCCACCACCAUACGGCGAGCCUUAUAUGGAUCAGUGGGUUCCACCGCCGCAGGUACAACCUUGGUUCCCUUCAAGUAAUUCGAAUAUGUAUUACAUGAAGAAAUCAGCUCCCUCGACCAAAACGGUGGUCCGAGAGCCUCCAGUGUAUGGGUACACUGAUUCAUAUUGGACUUCUCCUCCGAGCUAUGGGAAUGUUGGCUAUGGUGGUAGUCUGGGGUUUUUUUCAGCUGGUUCGCAUAUUGGCACUGGAAAUAAGGAGAGCGCUAAAGAAGAAUCACAAAAGGAGCCACCGCCACCUCCGACACCAAAGGCAUCAGCAUGGGAUUUUUUUAAUCCAUUUGAUGUGGUUGAGAACGGGUACCCUGGUUAUUACUCGACAGGAGGGUAUGGCUAUCCGUCGAAUGCGAGUAGCCCAGAUUCGAAUGAGGUAAGGGAGAGGGAGGGGAUUCCUGAUUUGGAGGAAGAAACUGAAAGUGAGGUGUACAAAGAGGUCCUUAACGGAAGCAGAAUGAAAGGUGAUUCAAAAAAGAGUUCAGUGGAGAGUGCUCCACAUGCAAGAGGAGCACCUGUUCGAAAAAAUAAAAAUGGCAGCACGAGAUCAGUGCCGCAGCAUCAUCGAAGUGAGAAUAGUUCAAGAUCAGUGCCGUUAUACAAAGGGGAGGGAAGUUCAAGAUCCAUGGCAGUGCCUAAAAGUGAGAGUAGUUCCAGAUCGGUGCCUUCAUGGAGCAGUGAGGAGAUUGAAAAACCAUCUAUGCCGCCACAUUACAGUAGGGAGAGUGCAAAGACAUCAAUGUCACCUCAAUAUGGUGAGGAGAACACUAAAACAUCAAACUUUCCACCAGAUAGCAUGCGGGAAUCAUAUGUAGAUCAUUCCCCAAAUGAGGAAAGGUCUAGCAAAUCGAUUAGCUUAGCAGAUGAAAGCAGUCCAGAAAAUAUAGUAUUGAAGAAUGUGGAUGAGGGUUCUGUGAAAAAGAAAGGGGUGACUUUUGAAAUGGAGGGAACAUCAAAACAGGAUGCUGAUUCUUCCAACUUGAGUAGUGUAACCAUAUUGUCUCCUAAUGGCACAAGGGAUCUUCAGGAGGUUGUUGCUGAAAUAAGAGAUGAAUUUGAAACUGCUUCUAGUUAUGGGAAAGAGGUAGCCAUGCUGCUUGAAGUUGGGAAGCUGCCUUAUCAACCUAGCUUUCUUAAAGUUAUUAUCUCACGAAUAUUAUACCUGAUAUCUCCAUCGCUAUCAUUGCUGGAUGAAUCUCCAUCUGUAAAAUCAGCUAAAUUAGCUUCGAACACAAUGAAAAUGGCGAGAUCUUACUUUGACAAUGUUGAGAAGGAUGUCAACUCUAAAGCUUUCAACCUUUCAGCCACACUGGAUAAACUGUAUGCUUGGGAAAAGAAGUUAUACAAGGAAGUAAAGGAUGAAGAAAGACUUCGAGUUAUAUAUGAGAAACAGUGCAGGAGGCUAAGGGUUUUAGAUGAAGAAGGAGCCGAAUCUAGCAAGAUAGAUGCGACUCGGGCUUCCAUCCGUAAAUUACUGACUAAGCUAAAUGUUAGUAUCAAAGCAAUUGAUGGUAUUUCAAGCAGGAUACACAAGUUGCGGGAUGAGGAAUUGCAACCUCAGGUUGCCACAUUGAUUUAUGGGCUUAUUAGAAUGUGGAAGGCAAUGCUGAAGUGCCAUAGGAAGCAGUUUCAAGCUAUUAUGGAGAGUAAAAUGCGUAAGCUCAGAGCUAACACUGGUCUCCAAGGGGACUCCAGCUUGCGGGCCACCACACACCUUGAAAGGGAGCUUCGUGCAUGGUGCGCACGGUUCAAUGAUUGGGUGGCAUUUCAAAAGUCAUAUGUCGAAUCCUUGAAUGGUUGGCUUUUGCAGUGUCUGCAGUAUGAGCCAGAACAGACACCCGAUGGCCCUGUUCCAUACUCCCCCGGCAGGCUAGGAGCUCCUCCAAUCUUUGUAAUCUGCAAUGAUUGGCAGCAAGCUAUGGAAGCCAUAUCUGAGGCGAGGGUGGCAAACACCAUGAAUACCUUUGCAACAAGCUUGCAGCAGUUGUGGGAAAAACAGGACGAGGAGAGGCAUCAACGGCUCAAAGCAGAGUAUCUUUCCAAGGACUUCGACAAGCAGCUGAAAGCACACCGAAUGGAGAAGGGGAAAAUGAAGCUCGACCAAGAUGGGAGAUCAGACAAAACUGGAUUGUCUAUGGUUCCAUCAUCGGAUAGUGGAGUUUCGGCAUUGGAUGAUCUGAAGGUGGACUUAGAUUCUAUGAAACAGAAACUGGCAGAGGAGCGAGUGAAGCACAAGGAUGCCAUGAAGGUAGUCCAUGAUGCUGCUACUAGUAGCUUACAAGGUGGCCUGAUACCCAUUUUCAAGGCUUUGGAGAACUUCACUUCCGAAGCUCUGAAAGCACAUGAGCAUGUUCGACUACAGCCCUCCAACGACAAGAGCUGACCCUGUACAAGUCACUUUGUAGAUCAUCCAACUGUGGCAUUCGGGGAUGAAAGUUUUGUUUUUUUAGCUAAAGCUUCUGGCAACCUGAUUCCUUAGAAGAAGGCUUUAGGUAGUAAGAGCAAAGGCUGACUGAAGCUGGAAGAUGCACAAAAGAUGAUGCAUGUUGCCUGCUGUCCCCAUCCGAUUCCUAGCUGUGAAUAGUGUUUUUGUUCAUUCUACUGUUGGAACUUUCUGACGUGACUUGAUUAUAAGGAAUCAAUGUCCAUCAUCCACAGUCGUACCAAUUAAUAAUGGAUUUCUGGUGAAGAAUGUGAUUUGCAGGAUAUGGUUCUUUUUUAUUCUGGAAAAACAGUACGUACAGGUACAGGUAGCUAAACUAUUAUCUUUCAGUUUUUUUCUGCAAUUAUAACUCUUCUCUUCCCUAUGUUCUAAAUAUGUUCUUUCAUACAGGAGUAACGAAGACAUCAUUGUCGGCAACAAGAACACCCAGUUGCAAUUCAUCAUUCCAGAAAAUGUUCCAGUAAUUUCCAGCCCGGCCACAAGCUCUUGCACGAAUUAAAUUUUCAGCAGGUUGAAAUUUGACUUAAGUAAUAAGCAUGCCUAGCUAGCUAGCACAAAUAUUAUGCAUACAUACAGACUUACAUUCAUGAUACAAUGCACACUAACAGACAAAAUUCAGGUUUUAUUUCUGAGAACAAGGCUAGUUCUUCAAUCUUCUUCCUCAUCAGUGAGAAACUUUCCUGUUCCAGGAUUAAUGGCAGCCACAAAGAAGAAGACUAUGUUGAACAACAAAA